AUAUUCAUUUACAAGUCUUCCCAAUUGAAAAGAUUUUGUUACAUCUCAAGUAUAAAAGUAGUCUAAUUAGUGUAAUUGAGAGUCAGUUAAUCUUGAGCGUUCAUUGGAUACACUUUUGCUCCAGUAAAUAACUAAUUAGAUUCAGUGCCCAACAGUAAAUUCAAUUCAGUAUGCAAACAAUUAUACUAAAAGUAUUUACACUCUUUUUGAUUGGAAUAACAAUGGUUAACACAAGACCAUUUGAUAAUGAUGCAAGGAUAAUACGCUUACCAUUCAACUGGGAUAAUCAGAUUCAAGAUAAAGGCGAUCCAAUUUGGCAAUUUUAUCCAUCAAAGCAAACAACAAUUUAUAGUUAUGAUGAGUUUCCGGUGAUUAAAGAGAAAUCCAA